UCGCACCUACCGAUUGAGCGUUCCGGUGAGGCCUUGGGAUUGUAGUUGGGUGCUUCAUUGGACCCUGCCGCGAGAACUUGUCCAAACCUUAUCAUUUAGAGGAAGGUG
rnacentral:rRNA from 1 species